rnacentral:miRNA from 1 species
GGUGGGCCGCAGUUCACCUACA